UACGUAGGGGGCGAGCGUUGUCCGGAUUUAUUGGGCGUAAAGAGCUCGUAGGCGGUUCGAUAAGUCGGACGUGAAAUCUCCACGCUCAACGUGGAGGGGCCGUUCGAUACUGUCGUGACUCGAGUCCGGUAGGGGAGUGUGGAAUUCCCGGUGUAGCGGUGAAAUGCGCAGAUAUCAGGAAGAACACCCGUGGCGAAGGCGGCUCUCUGGGACGGUACUGACGCUGAGACGCGAAAGCGUGGGGAGCGAACAGG
rnacentral:rRNA from 1 species